UCUUCUGGGGUGUGGUUUUAGGAAACCUUAGACCACAUGAGAAUCUUUUCUAGGGCAUAAGAUCUAAGGAAGAAAAGAGAGGUCUCUUCUUCUUCUUCCUCCUCUUUCUCUUCCUUCUCUUCUCCUUAUUCUCUAAGAGAGUUUGAGAGAUCGAUGGAGAUUAGCAAUAUCAACCAUCAGUAGGUGGCUUUUGCAAAGGCACUGGCACCCUGGUGAAGCGACGGACCU
rnacentral:lncRNA from 1 species